GUGUUGCGUCUCCUGCAUGUACCGGCUGUGCCCUCCCAUGGCUUAUUUUUUAUAUUUUUUUGUUUCCUUCGUAAUCGUUUAUAGAUGCAACGUGUUUGUCACCGCCUCUAUCGGCCAAUAUCUAUCUUCCAUUUGUUCCUCCACCUCUUCACCGCUUCUUUGUAUGGAUUUUUCAUCUCUUUUGUCAUGUGGUUACUGCAGACGCUCUCCACUCAUGGACCUCAGUUCUUCUUCACCGACUUUAGACGUCUGAAAAUGCACACGGUAUUGCCUUCGGUUUCUUUCUUCCUAUCAUAUGUCGUCUCUAUGACUUCUCUCAUGCGGAUUGUAGAUGGACUAGGUCCGAAAUUUCCUUCAUUUGUUAUUUUCGUUUCUCAAUUUGGUCACCACUCACUCGAUGCUUUGUCGGUGACGAUUGUUGAAGGAAUGAUUGGGGGUCAGCUAGGUCGACGACUUUGGAAGUGUCGGAUGAUUCUUUCAGAGCAUAAGAAGGAUUUCAAAGCUAGAAGGUGCAUUUCAUACGAUAAACUUGAUUACAACCCUAAUUUCGCCUCUUCCUUAUUCAAUUCUCAUAUACGAGCAAUGAAAAUCAUCGUUGGGUUAAGCAGAAGAUAAAGGAUCGAGCGAAGUUACUUUCAGUCGGCAAGAGCAGAUGUCGGACUUAUAUUGAAUCUAUAGUUUGAAUUGGUUGGCAGUUGAAACCGAAGAGGGUUUCAGUUUCACCACCACCGCCCACCACCCUAUACGAUGCAACACCCUGCAAUAGUAAUAAAUUAAAAACCAUGAUUACACUAUACUUAAAGGAUCAAACAAAACUCAGAGGUACAUAGAAGGAAAAUAGACAACACGAAGGAUUAAAUGGUAGAUAAACAGAAGCUUUGGCAUGAAGAAGACAACCAUGAAGCUUUGGCAGAAGCUUUGUUGAAAUGGGUCACCAGAAAUGACAGUUGGUUUGGUAGAAAUCACAUGUUAUUGCUAAUUUCAGAUUGUGCAGUGUUUCUGGCUAUUUGAUUUCACUUAUUCUCUUCAUUCUAUAUUCAUAUAUACAUUUGUUAUCUGUGAUGAGGUUUUUGAUUAGUUUUGAAUAUCAUUAUGAUUUGGGCAGUGCAGUAGGAAGACUAAAUUGGUGGAGAUUCAUGCGACACAUCCUAGAUUUCAUGUUAUAUUUAACUUCCUUUAUAACAGGUAAGAGUGGUCGCUCCUUUUUGAUGAUUUUCGAUUACCAAAAGUUAUAAUAGCUUAUACCAUUUUAGGUUCAUUUUUUAAAAUAAGUUUUAGAGAUCAAGUUUGAAAUUUAUGACUGGUUGUGUGUUUUGUGUUUAUGAGCAGAAAUGGAGUAGUUCAUUCCAUAUUAACAAACAAAAGGUAAAUGUUUCGAAGUAGCACGUUGUAGUCGGACACAAUUUAACAGUAAGAUGAUAUAGGAAAAAUGUACAUGAAAGUAUAUUGCUAUUUUCUGGACAACUUAUCACUUGAAAGUUUCUACAGGUCUUAACAAAGUUAUCCUGCAUAGAAGGAUGGAAGUGGCAUUCUUUACGAGUUCUUUGAGCAUGGAAUGCAUGGACAAAGGAGAGAAUUGACUGGAAAGCUAUUGGGACAUAUUUUGACACUUACUCCUCAAAUGUAUGGCUGUUAAGUUAUUUAAAAGGUAAAGUUUGGUAUGUGGGAAUCACAUAAGGGAUGGAAUAGGACAUUCCGUUUCCAUUACAGAAUUUUGGUUAUUUUUUGUUUAGUAGUUGCUUCUUAAUUUCCGUGACUCGGACCUGGUGUCCCCCUAUUCUUCACAUGAUUUUUUCCCUUAAUUGUAGUAUGUUUGUAUAGUAAUAUGCCAACUAUCUGUAGUUUUAUUUUAUUUAUAUAUAUGAUGUCGUUCAAAAAAUAAUUGAUAUUAUCUUUA